AUUGAACGCUGGCGGCAUGCCUUACACAUGCAAGUCGAACGGUAACGGGCCUUCGGGUGCCGACGAGUGGCGAACGGGUGAGUAAUGCAUCGGAACGUACCAUUGAGUGGGGGAUAACGUAGCGAAAGUUACGCUAAUACCGCAUAUUCUGUGAGCAGGAAAGCAGGGGAUCGCAAGACCUUGCGCUCUUUGAGCGGCCGAUGUCGGAUUAGCUAGUUGGUGGGGUAAAGGCCCACCAAGGCUACGAUCCGUAGCGGGUCUGAGAGGAUGAUCCGCCACACUGGGACUGAGACACGGCCCAGACUCCUACGGGAGGCAGCAGUGGGGAAUUUUGGACAAUGGGGGCAACCCUGAUCCAGCCAUGCCGCGUGAGUGAAGAAGGCCUUCGGGUUGUAAAGCUCUUUCGGCCGGGAAGAAAUCGUGUGGGCUAAUACCCUGCAUGGAUGGCGGUACCGGAAUAAGAAGCACCGGCUAACUACGUGCCAGCAGCCGCGGUAA
rnacentral:rRNA from 1 species